rnacentral:misc_RNA from 1 species
GAAUAAGUGUAGCUGAAGAGAAAAAUAGUAACCCCUAAUGGGCCAUAAACAUAUGGGCUUCAAUAGAAUUGGGUUCUCUAAAUAGGAGGGAUCCAAGCCAACAUGCUUUUGGCUCUGCAAGGGGAGGACCCUAGGGUUGCUUAGUACUCUGGGAUGGCAGUUCCGAAUUCUACUAGCCCAUCAAAUGGAAAACAACUACCUUGAUCUGCUGC